rnacentral:rRNA from 1 species
AUGCCAACGGGCCCGAGAUGGGCGGACCUGCUACCAGAGCUUGUCUGCCGCAUCGCCGACGGCCUUGACGACCUCAAGUGCUACGCGAGUGUGCGGGGUGCCUGCAAGACAUGGCGUCGCACGCUCGUGCCACCAUCACCAUUGCUGCUUGUUGACCACGGCGACGACCCUGCCAAGCGUUGCACCACCGCUGCCAUCAAGCGUCGUACCACUGUGGCCUCAAUCCUCGCGCGUUGCUCCUUCGAGCUCAAUGACAUCCCUUCGGGCCAGCUAUGCCCUGCGGCGCGCCGCUCCUUCAAGCUCGUCACCAUCCCGUCGGUCAGGACCUGUCUUGGCUACUGUAGCGGAUGGCUCGCCCUCUCCGUCCGCAUCGAUGAUGUUCGUAGCCUGCUCAGCCUCUUCCACCCCAUCAUAGCCGCUGAGAUCCUCCUACCCCCGCUUGUCUAUGACAGCCGCCUCAUCUCCAAGAUCGUCUUCGCACCCAACCCUGCCACCGACGACUUCAUGGCCGCUGUGAUAUGUGAUAUCAAUAGGGUUGCCUAUGUCACCGCAGGGGCCAGGAGGUGGGCCAUCCUCGACCCCAUUCGCCUCACCAUUGGAGACCAGCUCGCCGACCUCCUCUACCAUGGAAAUGGUAGGGUGUACUACCUCACUCGGUUUUGA